rnacentral:rRNA from 1 species
UACGAAGGGGGCUAGCGUUGUUCGGAAUUACUGGGCGUAAAGCGCACGCAGGCGGUCUGCUAAGUUUGGAGUGACAGUUGGUGGCUCAACCACCAAAGUGCUUCGAAAACUGACAGACUUGAGGGCUUCAGAGGGACACGGAAUUCCGGGUGGAGUGGUGAAAUGCGUAGAGAUCCGGAGGAACACCGAAGGCGAAGGCAGUGUCCUGGGGAGUACCUGACGCUCAGGUGCGAAAGCUAGGGGAGCGAACGGG